UACGUAGGGGGCAAGCGUUGUCCGGAAUCAUUGGGCGUAAAGAGCGUGUAGGCGGCCAGAUAAGUCCGCUGUGAAAACUCGAGGCUCAACUUCGAGCUGUCGGUGGAAACUAUUUGGCUAGAGUCCGGAAGAGGAGAGUGGAAUUCCUGGUGUAGCGGUGAAAUGCGCAGAUAUCAGGAAGAACACCCGUGGCGAAGGCGGCUCUCUGGUACGGAACUGACGUGAGACGCGAAAGCGUGGGGAGCGAACAGG
rnacentral:rRNA from 1 species